UACGGAGGGUGCAAGCGUUAUCCGGAUUUACUGGGUUUAAAGGGUGCGUAGGUGGGUCUGUAAGUCAGUGUUGAAAUCUCCGGGCUUAACCCGGAAACUGCCAUUGAUACUAUAGGUCUUGAAUUAUCUGGAGGUGAGCGGAAUAUGUCAUGUAGCGGUGAAAUGCUUAGAUAUGACAUAGAACACCAAUUGCGAAGGCAGCUCACUACGGAUAUAUUGACACUGAGGCACGAAAGCGUGGGGAUCAAACAGG
rnacentral:rRNA from 1 species